rnacentral:rRNA from 1 species
AUACGGAGGACGCGAGCGUUAUCCGGAUUCAUUGGGUUUAAAGGGUGCGCAGGCGGCCGUGCAAGUCAGCGGUGAAAGCCCGGGGCUCAACCCCGGAAGUGCCGUUGAUACUGCAUGGCUGGAAUGCGGUCGAGGCGGGCGGAACGUGGCGUGUAGCGGUGAAAUGCGUAGAUAUGCCACAGAACGCCGAUAGCGGAGGCAGCUCGCCAGGCCUGCAUUGACGCUCGGGCACGAAAGCGUGGGGAUCGAACAGGAUUAGAUGCCCUGGUAGUCCACGCCGUAAACGAUGGGCGCUCGUCGUCGGCGGCAGACAGUCGGCGGCCAAGCGAAAGCGAUAAGCGCCCCACCUGGGGAGUACGGUCGCAAGGCUGAAACUCAAAUGAAUUGACGGGG